AGUUGGUGGAGUGAUUUGUCUGGUUAAUUCCGUUAACGAACGAGACCUCAGCCUGCUAAAUAGUGACGCGAAGCUUCUGCUUCGCGGCGCACUUCUUAGAGGGACUAUUGGCGUUUAGCCAAUGGAAGUUUGAGGCAAUAACAGG
rnacentral:rRNA from 1 species